UCACUCUCAGAGUCACAUCUUGAGAGUUUCCAGUACUCUACCAGUCUCGACUAUGGGAGGGAGAGUCAAGCAGAGGCCUACCCAUUCCAUUCCUAGUUUGGCCAGUGGCUAGCGAGUGGAAGGCAAUCUGCUACAAGU
rnacentral:snoRNA from 1 species